rnacentral:rRNA from 1 species
GACGUAGGGAGCGAGCGUUGUCCGGAUUUAUUGGGCGUAAAGGGCCAGUAGGCGGCUUGGCAAGUCAGGUGUGAAACCUCCAGGCUCAACCUGGAGACGCCACUUGAUACUGCUAUGGCUAGAGUCCGGUAGGGGAGCAUGGAAUACCCGGUGUAGCGGUGAAAUGCGCAGAUAUCAGGAGGAACACCGGUGGCGAAGGCGGGUCUCUGGGCCGAUACUGACGCUGAGGAGCGAAAGCGUGGGGAGCGAACAGG